UGUGUGUUUCGACCGGCUUCCGCCGCCUCGUCUUGAAGACGGGGCGGCGGAUGUCGUCUGUGCGACGCAGGAUGCGCGGCC
rnacentral:tRNA from 1 species